CAGGAGCAGCUGAGACCCAGGAGGAAAGCAAUCAUAUGGCCAAAUGCAGGAUGGCUGGUGGGAGUGAAAACAAGUGAAAUGGAAAUUCCCAGAGCUGCAGAGAAAACAGAACUCAAACAGAACUUCCCUGAAGCAAGCAUGAGGAGCUCUGAUAGCAGUGAGGAG